UCUGAACGACAUUGCUUACCAUAAUAUUGCCUUUUUGUCAUAUUAUGCUGUUUAGCAAAAGACCAAACUGGGACCCAUCAGUUUUAAUAACAAUGCAUUUGAGAAGAUGAAUUAAGUCUCAAAUAGAAAAGGUAGGUGAACUUGUCCAGACUGUGGGUGGUGCAGUAAUUAAAAGUCAGUGGAACUGCAAUGUCUCAGAGCUCAUUAGACAAAACAGUAUGUGGAAAAUGUCUCGUCAUGUCUAAUUGCUACAGCUGCUUGGAUUUCUCUGCUAUAGCUGGACAUCAGCUAUUCAUAAACCAGCAGGAGAAAUUAUUCUGUAGAAAGAUGCACUUCCUGCAUUACAUACACCCUUCUUUGCGAUCAAUGCCUCUAGUCUUUGACUAAAAGUUGUAAAUUAACUAAGAGAUAUGGCAAACAUAACAGUAGAAAAUCUAUAUCUAGUGAUAGUGUUAGAAUUAUUGAGUUGAGCCAACAACAUUACUUAGGAGCAUAAUGCUGUCUGAGUGGGAUUAUAUUGUGAUGUCUAUCAAGAUAAUUUUUACAUAUACAUUACUAAGCAGUUCCAGAUGUGGAAUCUCAGCUAGAGCUACUGGUGCUGGAGCCCUCCUGUUUCAUCUCAUGAGCUCACCAUUUCCUGUUGCCUCUCAGGAAAAUUACAUGCAAGCGGAAAGCACUUUUAAUUGAAGGAAAGAUGGAGGGCAGUGUUGAAGAAAAUAAGAUGGCCGAGUGCUAUGAGGCAGAAGCACUUGCUUUUUAGACGAACACCAGUAUACUGUUGAAGAGGAAGAAGAAGAGGAAGAAGAGGAAGAAGAGAAGGAGAAGGAGAAGGAGAAGGAGAAGGAGAAGGAGAAGGAGAAGGAGAAGGAGAAGGAGAAGGAGAAGGAGAAGGAGAAGGAGAAGGAGAAGGAGAAGGAGAAGGAGAAGGAGAAGGAGAAGAAAAAAAGGAAGAAGAAAAAGAGGAAGAAGAAGGAGAAGAAGGAGAAGAAGAAGGAAAAGGAGAAGAAGGAGAAGAAGGAGAAAAAAAAAGGAGAAGGAAAAAAGGAGAAGAAGAAGAACAACAACAGCAAAAACACCACCAACAACUCUGGAAAUAAUGGCCUCCCUAAUUUUAUAUAUAGCACACUGUUUCAGCACACUCUAUCAGUGUAUAAUAAUAAUAGUAAUCUAACAAUAUCCUUCAACUUAAAUAAGGCCCUAGUUACUCUCUAGUUACUAGUUACUCUCAUAAUAUAUGCAUGAGAAAGCAAUGUCCUUGUAAAUUGGGUUGAUUUGGAUUUGGAAAACAAUGGGAUAUUCUUCUUCAGAUGCCCAUGUAAUGUAUAUUAUUCAUUUUCCCAGAGUAUGAAGAUUUAUAAUCUCCCAAUUAUCUUGUAUUAGUGCCAGUAAUUAUUUUGUAAAUUACAUGUCUCCUACUGAGAAUGAAGACAUUAUAGAAUCUGUGCAGCAUUAUAAUUCACCAUGUUUCUGAAUAAUUUUUCUAAACUAUUCUUAAAUGUAAAUCCAAAUGUGGAAAUAAGAUUUAUAUACAAAUUAUAAAUGUUAAAAUGGUUUCUGGUUGUAAUCUUUCAAAUACUCCACCCGAACUAAAUCAGUAUUUUCUUAACUAUGUCUAGUAUUUAGUCUCCAUAUACUCUUAAACAGUUUAACAUUGUCAGAGAAAUAUUUUAUUUUCCUUUCAUAACUUGGCUAGAUAGUCAAAUUCUUAGCCAAGAAUGAUACAAAGAACCUCCAGCUGUUUCUGUCCAAUUUGACAUUCUUUAAUUCAUUGCAUUUUAAGGAUACUGAUUAUCACCCCUCUGUUUUUCAUUAGCCCCCAACCUAGAUGGUUCAAACAUGAAUAUAUUGAUGCAGAGCAGUGACACAUCUCUGCAGUGGGAGAAUGGAAAACCAAAUUUCCUGCCCUCACCCAGCAGGAGUACUUCAGCAGUCAGCACUGUGUAUAUUGUAAUGAUAUGCCUCAAUAAACAAGUCCAGUUUUCAAAGCUCGCCCACAUACGUGGCUCUUCAGCUGCCUGAUUGAUUCAAGGGGAAUCUUUCUCUUUGCUUUUGCUCAAACUGAUCAGGGUUUUCACUCUUACAUAACGAAGCAGAGUGUAAACAUAGAAGUUGUUUAUCUUGCCACUUGGAAUGAUCUGGAGCCCCUCUCCUCCUUCACUUGACAUUCUGGUUAUCACAGAAGUAAAAACAACAAUACCAUAUUAGGUUAAAGGUCAAUCUAGCUUAGUUCCUGAUGAUACCUGACAUCAGAUAUCUGGGGAAGACUGAAAGGAUUCAGCAAGACUGUGGGUAUAUUUUCUCAGGAAUCUUUCUGCCUACAGCAAUAUGAAAGUCAGGAUUUUUUCCUGAGACAGAAAGUCCAUCUCUUCAUUUAAUGUCCUUGUUAGAGAUUACUUUUUUAUUUUCUUCCAGUAAUUUUUUGAAGUGAUGUAGACUUAAUAUCCACAACACUGUGGAGCAGGAGGCUUUAUGUCAUAAUGCCAUGUUGUAUGAAAAACUACUUCAUUUUAUUUAUUUUUAUAACCUUCAUUAAAUAUUUUUUUUUGUAUAUGAGUGAAUGAGGAAUAAUUACUUGUUCAAUAAGCCCAGUUCACUUAACCUCUCUUCACACAUCAUGUGCUCCAGUCUCCAGCCAUGUUGGCAGAUCUUCACUUUUUCGUUUAUCAAUGUCUUUUUUGCACCUGGAGGCCCCAAACUCAUGAAGUUGUUCACAUACAGUCUACUGUAUGUGAACUGUUGAGCAGAGAGGAUGAGACUCAUGGAGUAAAUAUAGCACAAGUUCUGGGGAGUUGUUCAAAAUUCAGCAUCCUUCAAGAAGCUACAGGUGAAGGGCAGAUAAAUGUACUCUGCUAAGUUUAUAUUGCUAAUAGAAAGAAGGCAAAGCAUAAGCCGCUAGUUUGAAAGUCAAAUGGUAUAGUUAAUUUACAAUCAUAAUGCUGUUAAGUAGCCCACUCUGGGGCAGGCCGGUUUAAUCCACACCAUUUGCCCUCUGACUGAGUCUAUUUGGUGACUUUGUGACCCUAAACCUAGAUUGUUGUUUUGUGUGGCUUUUCAUUUCAGACAGCACCACAUAAUUUCAGGGUUAUACUACAGCCCUCCAGAGUGCUAUUUUUAUAACAUAAAACUGGGUGUACGUAUGGCAUCAAAAAAAUGUGCUGCAUAAGGGCCUAUAACUUCCUUGUUAUGUGAAUUAAUUUACAGUGUUUCUAAUUGUUAGAGGUGAACAAAACAACUUUUACUCACUGUUUUUUACAGACACAUGUGAACUGAUUGAGCUAACAUGAAGUAAUGGAUACCUUACCCCUUACUGUACAUUAAUGUAUCGAUAUUGUCAAGUAAAUUGCUGUUAGGCAACAUUUUAGGGAUUUAGAAUAUGUACAGUAAAUGAGUAAUAAUAUUGCUGAUAAGCAUAUUUCAUCAAAAUUAUACUCAGCCUUUACUUAGGAAUAAGUUGAACUUUAAUAAUUGUUUCAUGGAUUUUGGACAAUGAUUUUAGAAAAUAAAUAAACAGAUUCAGU